UACGAAGGGGGCUGGCGUUGCUCGGAAUCACUGGGCGUAAAGCGCACGUAGGCGGAUCUUUAAGUCAGGGGGUGAAAUCCUGGAGCUCAACUCCAGAACUGCCUUUGAUACUGGGGAUCUCGAGUCCGGGAGAGGUGAGUGGAACUCCGAGUGUAGAGGUGAAAUUCGUAGAUAUUCGCAAGAACACCAGUGGCGAAGGCGGACUCACUGGCCCGGUACUGACGCUGAGGUGCGAAAGCGUGGGGAGCAAACAGGG
rnacentral:rRNA from 1 species